rnacentral:rRNA from 1 species
GACGAACGCUGGCGGCGUGCCUAAUACAUGCAAGUCGAGCGGACUGAUUAAGAGCUUGCUCUUAUGACGUUAGCGGCGGACGGGUGAGUAACACGUGGGCAACCUGCCCUGUAGAUCGGGAUAACACCGAGAAAUCGGUGCUAAUACCGGGUAAUAUCUGAGAUCACAUGAUCUUAGGUUAAAAGAUGGCUCCGGCUAUCACUAUAGGAUGGGCCCGCGGCGCAUUAGCUAGUUGGUAAGGUAAUGGCUUACCAAGGCGACGAUGCGUAGCCGACCUGAGAGGGUGAUCGGCCACACUGGGACUGAGACACGGCCCAGACUCCUACGGGAGCCAGCAGUAGGGAAUCUUCCGCAAUGGACGAAAGUCUGACGGAGCAACGCCGCGUGAGUGAUGAAGGGUUUCGGCUCGUAAAGCUCUGUUGUUAGGGAAGAAACAGUACCGAACGAACUAGGUCGGUACCUUGACGGUACCUAACCAGAAAGCCACGGCUAACUACGUG